GAUGAACGCUAGCGGGAGGCUUAACACAUGCAAGUCGAGGGGCAGCAUAGGGUAGCAAUACUCUGAUGGCGACCGGCAAACGGGUGAGUAACGCGUAUGCAACCUACCCUGUACAGGGGGAUAACCCGGAGAAAUUCGGACUAAUAUCCCGUAAUAAUAUCCGGAGGCAUCUUUGGAUAUUUAAAGUUUCGACGGUACGGGAUGGGCAUGCGUAACAUUAGCUGGUUGGUAAGGUAACGGCUUACCAAGGCUAUGAUGUUUAGGGGUCCUGAGAGGGUGGUCCCCACACUGGUACUGAGACACGGACCAGACUCCUACGGGAGGCAGCAGUGAGGAAUAUUGGUCAAUGGGCGCAAGCCUGAACCAGCCAUCCCGCGUGCAGGAAAGACGGCCCUAUGGGUUGUAAACUGCUUUUCCAGGGAGAGAAACUUACGCACGUGUUGCGUGACUGACGGUACCCUGGGAAUAAGCAUCGGCUAACUCCGUG
rnacentral:rRNA from 1 species